rnacentral:rRNA from 1 species
AGAUUGAACGCUGGCGGCAGGCCUAACACAUGCAAGUCGAGCGGUAGAGAGAAGCUUGCUUCCCUUGAGAGCGGCGGACGGGUGAGUAAUACCUGGGAAUCUGCCUGAUAGUGGGGGAUAACGUUCGGAAACGGACGCUAAUACCGCAUACGUCCUACGGGAGAAAGCAGGGGAUCUUCGGACCUUGCGCUAUCAGAUGAGCCCAGGUCGGAUUAGCUUGUUGGUGAGGUAAAGGCUCACCAAGGCGACGAUCCGUAACUGGUCUGAGAGGAUGAUCAGUCACACUGGAACUGAGACACGGUCCAGACUCCUACGGGAGGCAGCAGUGGGGAAUAUUGGACAAUGGGCGCAAGCCUGAUCCAGCCAUGCCGCGUGUGUGAAGAAGGUCUUCGGAUUGUAAAGCACUUUAAGUUGGAGGAAGGUUGUAGUUUAAUACGCUGCAAUCUUGACGUUACCGACAGAAUAAGCACCGGCUAACUCUGUG